rnacentral:rRNA from 1 species
UACGGAGGAUCCAAGCGUUAUCCGGAUUUAUUGGGUUUAAAGGGCGCGUAGGCGGGUCAGCAAGUCCGGGGUGAAAUCUUUCGGCUCAACCGGAAAAGUGCCUUGGAUACUGCUGGUCUGGAGGGAGGUAGGGGCAGCUGGAAUUUCCGGUGGAGCGGUGAAAUGCAUUGAGAUCGGAAAGAACACCAACGGCGAAAGCACUCUGCUGGGCCGACACUGACACUGAGAGACGAAAGCUAGGGGAGCAAAUGGG